rnacentral:rRNA from 1 species
UACAGAGGGUGCAAGCGUUAAUCGGAUUUACUGGGCGUAAAGGGCGCGUAGGUGGUAAAGCAAGUAAGAUGUGAAAGCCCUGGGCUUAACCUGGGAAGUGCAUCUUAAACUGCUUAACUUGAGUAUGGUAGAGGGUAGUGGAAUUUCCGGUGUAGCGGUGAAAUGCGUAGAGAUCGGAAGGAACGCCAGUGGUGAAGACGACUACCUGGACCAAUACUGACACUGAGGCGCGAAAGCGUGGGGAUCAAACAGG